UCCUCCUCCUCUUUAUCCAAAUGGAGAGAGUUCUUUUUUUCUUCUUCAUCUCAUCUAUUGAAUCAAGGAACUGCUGCUUGCCGCUGCACACGCACAGAGGGAGAGAGAGAGACACACACACAUACAGAGAGAGAGAGAGACUGGAGUCCGAAAAGCCCCGGGAGUCAGAGACAGCUCUGCGCUGAGACAGAAUGGUACAGCGCGUCGAGACAGAGCAGCAGCACCACUGAGAGCAAGAAAAGCUCCAGCGCUCCUUUGCUUUGCUUUCACAGAGGAAGACAAGAGGGGGAAGGGGGGGAGGCUGGUUUCUUUAAGCUGCAAAAGGAGCAGUAGAAAGUUAAAGCCGGAGGAACGAAGGGGGGAAGGCAAAUCACUCACUCCGCUCGCAGACGCACUGGAUGUGGGAAGCGGUAGCGCCAGAAAGCUCCGGAUCAUCGCGAAAUGUUGCAAUGGAAGGCGCAGGGUCUGACUCGCCCGGAGCAGCAAGAGGAGCAGCAGCAAACGCGGUAUGAAGAGGUGGUCUGUCAGCAGCAGCCUGCGGAAAGAAGCGCCAGCAGCCCAGCAACCCUCCCGUCCCCCUGGAUCGCCCCAAAGCCGCAGCGCGCUGCGGGGAAUCACAGAGGACCCAGCCCGUGGGUCGCCAAAACAACAGCAGCAGCAGAGGCAGCAGCCCCGUCCCGGCGGCGGCAACAUGGCCUCGGCUGUUAACGUUUCGGAGCCGGAGAGCAGCAGCGGUGCUGGUGGCGGUGGCUGCUGCAGAGACCCCGACCGGCCGGGGAGAAGCUGCAGCAGAAGGCGGAGAAGGACCGGAGGGAACAGACGCGCCGCGGCGCCGGAUCUGGAGUAUCUGCAGCGGCCAAGCUACUGCGAUGCAGCUUUUGCCUUGGAGCAGAUUUCAAAGGGGAAGGCUACUGGAAGAAAAGCACCGUUGUGGCUAAGAGCGAAGUUUCAGAGACUAUUAUUUAAACUGGGCUGUUACAUUCAAAAAAACUGCGGAAAGUUUUUGGUUGUUGGCCUCCUGAUAUUUGGGGCUUUCGCUGUAGGAUUAAGGGCAGCUAAUCUCGAAACCAACGUGGAGGAGCUCUGGGUAGAAGUUGGUGGACGAGUGAGUCGGGAGUUAAAUUACACGCGCCAGAAGAUUGGAGAAGAGGCCAUGUUUAAUCCCCAGCUCAUGAUUCAGACACCACAAGAAGAUGGUGCUAAUGUACUAACAACAGAAGCACUCAGACAGCACCUUGACUCUGCACUUCAAGCCAGUAGGGUACACAUUUAUAUGUACAACAGACAAUGGAAAUUGGAACAUUUAUGUUUUAAAUCAGGAGAACUUAUCACAGAAGCAGGGUACAUGGACCAGAUUAUAGAAUAUCUUUAUCCUUGUUUAAUCAUCACACCUUUGGACUGCUUCUGGGAGGGGGCAAAGUUACAAGCAGGGACUGCCUAUCUAUUAGGGAAACCUCCUUUGCAGUGGAUAAACUUUGACCCCUUAGAAUUCUUGGAAGAGUUAAAAAAAAUAAACUAUCAAGUAGAGAGUUGGGAGGAGAUGCUGAAUAAAGCCGAGGUUGGUCAUGGUUAUAUGGAUCGACCUUGCCUGAAUCCUACUGAUCCUGAUUGUCCAGUCACAGCCCCCAACAAAAAUUCAACCAAACCUCUUGAUGUGGCCCUUGUUUUGAGUGGUGGAUGCUACGGACUGUCAAAAAAGUACAUGCACUGGCAGGAGGAGUUGAUUGUAGGUGGAACAAUCAAGAAUGGUACUGGAAAACUUGUCAGUGCUCAGGCUUUACAGACCAUGUUUCAGUUAAUGACUCCUAAGCAAAUGUACGAACACUUCAAGGGGUAUGAGUAUGUUUCACACAUCAACUGGAAUGAAGACAAGGCAGCCGCAAUUCUGGAAGCCUGGCAGAGGAUGUAUGUUGAGGUUGUUCAUCAAAGUGUUGCACAAAACUCUACUCAGAAGGUGCUUUCCUUUACUACAACUACUCUGGAUGACAUCCUAAAAUCAUUUUCUGACGUCAGUGUUAUCAGAGUUGCUAGCGGCUACUUAUUAAUGCUUGCCUAUGCCUGUUUAACCAUGCUGCGGUGGGAUUGUGCCAAGUCCCAGGGUGCCGUGGGGCUGGCAGGAGUCUUGUUGGUUGCACUCUCAGUGGCUGCAGGAUUGGGCCUGUGCUCAUUGAUUGGAAUUUCCUUUAAUGCUGCCACAACUCAGGUUUUGCCCUUUCUUGCUCUUGGAGUUGGAGUAGAUGAUGUUUUCCUUUUGGCACAUGCAUUUAGUGAAACGGGGCAGAAUAAGAGAAUUCCAUUUGAGGAUAGAACAGGUGAAUGUUUGAAGCGAACAGGAGCAAGCGUCGCCCUUACAUCUAUCAGCAAUGUUACUGCCUUCUUUAUGGCUGCCUUAAUUCCUAUUCCUGCUUUACGGGCAUUUUCACUCCAAGCUGCUGUUGUUGUGGUAUUCAACUUUGCCAUGGUUCUGCUAAUUUUUCCUGCUAUUCUAAGCAUGGACCUUUACCGUCGGGAGGACAGGAGAUUGGAUAUAUUCUGCUGCUUUACAAGUCCAUGUACUAGCAGAGUGAUUCAGAUUGAGCCUCAAGCAUAUGCAGAUAAUGAUAACACUCGCUACAGCCCUCCACCACCCUACAGCAGUCACAGUUUUGCACAUGAAACUCAGAUUACAAUGCAGUCUACAGUGCAGCUGCGCACAGAAUAUGACCCUCAUACCCAGGUGUACUACACCACAGCAGAGCCUCGCUCAGAAAUAUCUGUGCAGCCGGUCACAGUGACACAGGAUAACCUCAGCUGCCAGAGCCCAGAAAGCACAAGCUCAACAAGGGAUUUGCUUUCCCAGUUUUCAGACUCGAACAUGCAUUGUCUUGAGCCACCCUGUACUAAAUGGACACUCUCAUCUUUUGCCGAAAAGCAUUACGCUCCAUUCCUGCUAAAACCAAAAGCCAAGGUUGUGGUUAUUUUCCUUUUCCUGGGUUUACUUGGUGUCAGUCUUUACGGUACUACCCGGGUGAGAGAUGGACUGGAUCUCACAGACAUUGUACCACGGGAAACCCGAGAAUAUGACUUUAUUGCUGCACAAUUCAAGUAUUUCUCCUUCUACAACAUGUAUAUAGUGACACAGAAAGCAGACUACCCCAACAUCCAGCACUUACUUUAUGACCUUCACAAAAGUUUCAGCAAUGUGACAUACGUUUUGAUGGAGGAAAACAAGCAGCUUCCCAAAAUGUGGUUGCACUACUUUCGAGACUGGUUGCAAGGUCUUCAAGAUGCAUUUGACAGCGACUGGGAAACUGGGAAAAUCACAUACAACAAUUACAAAAAUGGAUCUGAUGAUGCUGUCCUGGCCUACAAACUUCUGGUGCAAACAGGCAACCGCGAUAAACCCAUCGACAUCAGCCAGUUGACUAAACAGCGUCUGGUGGAUGCAGAUGGAAUCAUUAACCCAAAUGCUUUCUACAUCUACCUGACAGCCUGGGUUAGCAAUGACCCCGUGGCCUACGCUGCCUCUCAAGCCAACAUCCGGCCUCACCGUCCAGAAUGGGUCCAUGACAAAGCAGACUAUAUGCCAGAAACAAGGCUGAGAAUUCCAGCAGCUGAGCCCAUUGAAUAUGCUCAGUUUCCUUUCUACCUCAAUGGAUUGCGUGAAACUGCUGACUUUGUGGAAGCUAUUGAAAAAGUGAGAGCUAUCUGUAACAACUACACCAGUCUUGGGGUCCCCAGCUACCCAAAUGGAUACCCAUUUCUUUUUUGGGAACAGUACAUUGGGCUUCGUCACUGGCUUCUCUUGUCUAUUAGCGUGGUUCUGGCUUGCACAUUUCUGGUGUGUGCCCUCUUUCUCCUGAACCCCUGGACGGCUGGGAUCAUUGUGGUGGUGCUGGCUCUGAUGACCGUGGAGCUGUUUGGCAUGAUGGGUCUAAUUGGAAUAAAGCUGAGUGCAGUGCCUGUGGUCAUCCUGAUUGCUUCUGUUGGCAUAGGAGUGGAAUUCACUGUUCAUGUUGCUUUGGCAUUUUUAACCGCCAUAGGAGACAAGAACCGCAGGGCUGUCCUUGCAUUGGAGCACAUGUUUGCACCAGUAUUGGAUGGAGCCGUAUCUACUCUGCUUGGAGUGUUAAUGCUUGCAGGGUCCGAGUUUGAUUUUAUUGUCAGGUAUUUCUUUGCUGUUUUGGCAAUUUUAACUAUUCUGGGAGUUCUAAAUGGAUUGGUGCUGCUUCCAGUUCUUCUUUCGUUCUUUGGACCAUAUCCUGAGGUUUCUCCAGCUAACGGACGGAACAGAUUGCCUACUCCAUCUCCUGAGCCUGCCCCUAGCAUUGUGAGGUUUGCACUGCCACCUGGACACACAAAUAAUGGAUCAGAUUCAUCUGAUUCCGAGUACAGUUCUCAGACUACAGUGUCAGGAAUCAGUGAGGAACUCCAUCAGUACGAGGCCACUCAGAGCUCUGGUGCACCAGUCCACCAAGUAAUAGUGGAAGCAACUGAGAAUCCUGUCUUUGCCAGAUCUACUGUGGUUCAGCCAGAGACAAGAUGUCAUCAGCCAAGUCCAAAAUUACAGUCUAAGCCAGAAGCCGGGUCCCAGCAGACAUGGCAUCAUAACAGACAACCUAGACGAGAACUGAGGGAAGGAGUACGACCGCCCCCUUACAGGCCGCGCAGGGACGCUUUUGAAAUUUCUACUGAAGGGCAUUCUGGACCUAGCAAUAGGGACCGCUCGGGCCAUAGGGCUCGCUCUCAUAACAUUAGAAGCCCAGCAUUCACUGCCAUGGGUACUUCAGUGCCAGCAUACUGCCAGCCUAUCACUACUGUGACUGCCUCCGCUUCAGUUACUGUUGCUGUACACCCUGCUGUGCACAGCCAUAACUCUCAUGGAGGAGGCUUUCCAUCUUACGAAGGAUACCAUGAAACUGACCAUGGAACAUUUGAGGACCCCCAUGUGCCUUUUAAUGUACGUUGUGAGAGGAGAAACUCUAAAGUAGAAGUAAUAGAACUGCAAGAUGUUGAAUGUGAAGAAAGGACAAAUGGCAACAGCUCAGAUUAAGGUGGGGAAACUGAAGCAGAAAAAUUGGAUGUAUCCACGGUGCAAUCAGGAAGUGUAAUUGCAGUACCUGCAGGCAUACCUGAGCAGCUUUGAUCAAAUUAGCUUGCUAAAAAUAGCAUUGUAGCCACAGUGGCACUGGCAGCACCAUGAGCUAGCCAUCAAAGUACAGUCCCGCCCAGGAUGCUGCUCAUGUACUCAUGGGGGCUAGCCUGUGCCACUGCAGCUACCCUGCUAUUUCUUAUGAGCUGGUUAGCUCAGAACUAGCUUGCUUAUGCCAACACGCACUGCAAUUCACCUCCCAGUUGCAGCAUAGAAUACCCAUUGUUUGACUUUCCAAGGCCAUGGAACAGAAGUCAGAACCUGGAUUUCCUGGUACCCAGGGUAACAACUGAAGCAAAGAAGAGGCCAAAGAUGGGGAAACCUCCUCUUUCCAGAACUGCUUGAAGAGAACUGCUUGAAGUUAUGGAAAAGGACAUGCUGCAUCAGGAUAACAGUUCACUGUUACUGUAACCUAUUGUAUUAUGUUGUUAAAUAUUUCUAUAAAUAUUUAAAAGGUGUACACAUAUGUAAUAUACAAAGGAACAAUGUAAAGUAGUAUAAUCUGGAGUUAACUCUUGUUAAUAGAGUGGGACAAUAUUGUUUGUGUUCUGUACUUAUUGUACAUUGAUCUCUGUGCCACAACUAAGAUUAAUCUAGUCUUAAAUUUCAGCAUAUGUUGCUGCUGCUUAAAUAUUGUAUAAUUUACUUGUAUAAUUCUAUGCAAAUAUUGCUUAUGUAAUAGGAUUUUUUGUAAAGGUAUGUGUUUAAAAUAUUUUAAAAUUUGCAUUUCACAACCCUGUGGUAGUAUGAAAUGUUACUGUUAACUUUCAAACACGCUAUGCGUGAUAAUUUUUUUUAAAAUGAGCAGAUAUGAAGAAAAGCACGCUAAUCUUGGUGGUUUAAGUAGGUUUAGCUAUGUGCAGGUUUUGUUUUGCUGUGUGCAUGUGUGUGUAUGUAUGUUCCCAGUGUAUGGUAGUGUAGGUUUUUUUACUGUAUGGUAACCCUUAGUGGGCUUAUUAACUCACUGAUGCUGUCAGAGUCAGGAUUUCCCUAUUGCUAAGUGCUAGUGAAAAAUGCCUUGGCACGGAACAGAAUCUCCAGACUGCUAUUGUCAAAUGGAUGAUUAAAAUAGAAGAGAGGACAGGAAGUAAGGGCAUAUGGAUUCUAUUACUAAAUCUUCCACUGACUUGCUGUGUGUGACUUUGGGUAAGUCACUUAACCUCCCCAUGCCUCAGUUUCUGCAUCUGUAAAAUGGGUAUAAUAAUACUUACCUACCUCCUAGGGGUGUUGUGAAGCUUAAUUACUGUUUGGAAAGUGCUUUGAUAUCCUUUGUUAAAGGUGCCAUGUAAGUGCAAAACAUAAUCAUUUCCCUUAACUGCAAAGGGUGUUGAGUAUUGAAAGUUGCUAAAAUCCAGUUAGCAUAUGCCUUUGUAUGUACUGAUGCCAUAUUUUGAUAUUGAUAUUGUAAAAUAGAGUGGUACUGGAAUAAUAUGGUUGUUUACUACAGUAACUGCACAGUUCAAAGCAAUCUGGCAUCCCUCAUCACUUUAUUUACAUGGCAGAAAGCAAGUUAAUAUAAAGUGACAAAAAUUAGAAAUUUUUUUAUUAUUAUUUUCUUCAUCUAUUUUCACUUCUUAUUUUACUGAUCUGCUUGAUCCAGGACCAUAAUGAUUGACACCUAAGGCCUGGGGUGAUUUUCCACCCACCCCGCUAAGGUAACUCUUACUGCAUUAGUACUUGUAAUUAAAAUAGCUAAACUGAACCGGGAGCCCUUCAUGAAUCUAAUUUAGCUUCUUUUCUUUUUUUAAAGUUAAAAUUGAAUUUUUAUUUAUUUAUAUAUAUAAAACAAAUAUUCAGUUUAGAAAAAACACAAGAUCUGUGUUUCUAAAUACAAUUGGCCACUCCAGGCCAGGCAUUGUUUGAUUGGAAUUUAUACUUCUCCGGUAGCUGAAAGGCUCUUUUCCUGCAGCCCUUCCCAGCAAAGUGGAGGACUGUGACUAUCAUGCACAAAUUGUCAUGCCUUUUUUGCUCCCUUGAAAACACUUUGACAUGAGGCACUUGUUUACAGGUAUCCAAUGUGAACACUAAAAGAACAGCUGAUGAGCCUGGCAUUGUCCCAUUGGUACAUAAGCUACUGUUUAGAUGCACACUAAGGGUUAAUCCCGUAACUGCCUACUGGUCCAGCUCACUGUCUAACAUGAAAACUCUUAAUGACAAAAAGACAACAGGCCCCAAUUUAGCACUAGCAGUGUAGUGACCUCAGAUCAUAAAAACUCUGCAACAAAACUGUAUGAUACUAAUUGGAAGCUACCUUCAACUGCCAAGUGUACGUGUUACUGUGUCAGAGGUCACUAUGGCUUCCCACUGAUAUUGCUCUGGUAUCAGUCAGUCACUCCCCCACCCCUUUACUUUUUUUUUCUUUUUUUUUCUUGUAGAUGGUGGGAGGGAGGGAGCAAGGAAGAGUUUUGAUGUCUCAUCUCUUCUCCCCUUCUUCCCCCCAAUUCCUUAUUCUGUGUGUUUGUGCGUGGGUGAGCUGUCUGCUUUCUGCACAAUGUAGACCUUUUCUCCUAUAGUCACAUUGGCAAAGGGAGAACUCAGUGGCUGGCAACUUUGUGUUUUAUGGUUUGUUUUUAACUUUUUUUAAUCGUGGGUGAUAUUUAUAUUUUUGUAUCAUAAGAAUGUUUUCUUACAGUAUUUGUCAUGCCAGUUUAUAACAAACAAAAUGCAGGGAUUUUAUUUCUAUUGGAAACACUAUUACAGCUAUGUUUUUACUUUUAAUGGAAUUUUUAUUUGUAUAGAGUGCUUACUAAUGUUAAAUAGGAAAGAGUAUAUAACAUUUACAUUAAGGACUCAUCGUAGGUUUUAGUGUAAGGAGUAAAAAGGACAAAAAUAUUCAAACUGGGUCUCAUUGCCUGCCUAUUUUGGCAGGAGUGGGUUUGUGUCAUUUCAGUUACAAAGAUAAAAGUAUGCCAUAUAAUUUAUUUAUAUGAAAAUUUAUUUUUGUAGUGUACAUAAUAGUCAUCAAGUCUUUUGACAGAAGUAUAUUUUUAAAGAGUUUAUAUGUAAUGACGAUACCAUUAUGUUUUGGAACAUUGCUGAGACAUGAUUACAGUGCACACUUUUCAUUUUAAACCCCAUUGCGGAAAAAGAAAAUGUUUAACAGUGUUGAGAAAGAGAGUGUGAAUAUUCAUACGAUUCUGAAUUGUGUUUUAGUUACCAUUUGUGAUCUAGUGUGGUUCUCAUUUUAAACCUGGAGUGGCAAUUGUACAAACUCUCUAAAUAUUAAUGUUCAAACACUGAUAGAAAUUCUAACAUGAAUAAAAAAUAUUAUAACUUAUUGAUUACGUA